rnacentral:rRNA from 1 species
GAUGAACGCUGGCGGCGUGCCUAAUACAUGCAAGUCGAGCGAAUGGAUUAAGAGCUUGCUCUUAUGAAGUUAGUGGCGGACGGGUGAGUAACACGUGGGUAACCUGCCCAUAAGACUGGGAUAACUCCGGGAAACCGGGGCUAAUACCGGAUAACAUUUUGAACCGCAUGGUUCGAAAUUGAAAGGCGGCUUCGGCUGUCACUUAUCGAUGGACCCGCGUCGCAUUAGCUAGUUGGUGAGGUAACGGCUCACCAAGGAAACGAUGCGUAGCCGACCUGAGAGGGUGAUCGGCCACACUGGGACUGAGACACGGCCCAGACUCCUACGGGAGGCAGCAGUAGGGAAUCUUCCGCAAUGGACGAAAGUCUGACGGAGCAACGCCGCGUGAGUGAUGAAGGCUUUCGGGUCGUAAAACUCUGUUGUUAGGGAAGAACAAGUGCUAGUUGAAUAAGCUGGCACCUUGACGGUACCUAACCAGAAAGCCACGGCUAACUACGUGCCAGCCGCCGCGGUAA